CUUCAGAUGGUGUCUCAUAUCCUAUUUUAUAGUAUUAUAUAGUGGUUUGCAUGCGGGAAAAUUAACUUUACUGAUCCCCCCCUCUUUUUAAACAUGAGUUCAAAAAUACUGCAGAUUUGGAGGGGACUGCUGUUAAUUUUUUUGAAGUAUAGUUGGUUUUCGGUAUUAUAUUAGUUUCAGGCAUAUGGCAUAGUGAUUGAGGGGGCCUCUGUCAUCGUGGGAAACACAGCAACCUGAUCCACAGAAACCACAAUAGUAUGAUGGAAUAUUCUUGAACAUGUGUCAGAAUCGCCCAGAAGAUGGUUCAAACACAGAUUCUGGUGCCUGACGCCUCGCUCGGUUGGAUUCUGAAGUGAGAAUGAGCAUUUCUAGUCAGUCCCUCGAAGCCUCAGGUAGUGAAUGUUCAGGAAUCAGACUUGAAAACCAGGGUUCUAUGAAAAAUUCAGGUGCCUGGUUCCAGGCCUUCAGGUACCAGAGUGGAAAUCUGCAGACUCCUGGUAGCAGAGCCAGGGCUUCUCACACGCAUCUCCUGAGUGUCUCUGUAGUGAGCAAGUCGGGCUAAUGGCCAACUGGGCUGAGCUCCUAGAUCCUCUGCUGCCAAGGAGCCCUUCCUCUCACCAAAGCUCUCUAGCCACCUGCUUAUUCUGGCUAGAACUUAUUCCAAAAAUUCCUACAUCCCCUCCACUUUUUUUUUUUCUUUUUGGUCAACACCCGUAGCAUAUGGACGUUCCCAGGCGAGGGGUCCAGUUGAAGCUGCAGCUGCCAGCCUAUACCACAGCCACAUCAUCGCAGGAUCUGAGCGGCAUCUGCAGCCUACACGGCAGUUGGCAGCAAUGCCGGAUCCUUAACCCACUGAGUGAGACAGGGAUUGAACCCUCAUCCUCAUGGAUACUAGUCAGGUUCAUUACUGCUGAGCCACAGUGGGACCUCCUCCUUCACAUUUUCCUUCAGUGACCCUGUUUAUCAAAGAGGCCCCCUUCCUGCACCAUGUAAUGUGAAUUGCACACGUUACCUCUACGUACAGUCACCUUGUAGUCUUUCCAUUAUGCCGCUCACGUUGUGACAUAUAAAUAGAUGACUCAGCAUUCCCUCUUUCAUGAUUCCUCUGUCCUCAUUGAAUGUAACAUGACCCCCAGGAGGGCAGGAGUCAUUGCCCCUUUUGUAUCCCAAUGUCUCCUGUGCAUCUACGAUAACUUCUUUUUUUUUGUCUCAUUAGAGCCCCACUUGCGGCAUAUGGAGUUCCCAGGCUAGGGGUCGAAUCAGAGCUGUAGCCCCCAGCCUACACCACAGCCACAGCAACACCAUAUCUUAACCCACUGAGUGAGGCCAGGGUUCAAACCCACAUCCUCCUGAAUCCUAGUUGGGUUUGUUAACCACUGAGCCACAAAGGGGACUCCCAGCACCCUUCUCACACAUGCUCCAGCUGUGAACACGACAGCUGCUGUCCCGUAAUAAAAUAUCAAAAUAGCAUGUCUUCCAUUGUUCAGUUUUGGAGACCGAUGUCAGAUUCCCAAAAGGAAGUUUGGGAAUCUGUCAGGCUAUCCAAAUUACUAAAUGGAUAAAAAUAUGGCUCACCAAGUUGGACACAGUAGUUUGCUAUGCUGUCAGAGGAAGUAUUUUCUGCGGUGACUACAGAGUUCCACCUUUGUACUAUUGUUUUAGGGAGCCCAGCAUCCCUCUACUAUCUGUCCUCUCAUGGCCCAUCUUUUUUUUUUUUUUUUUUUUUUUUUUUUUUUUUUUGUCUUUUGUCUUUUGUGUUUUUUUUCAGGGCUGCACCCGCGGCAAAUGGAAGUUCCCAGGUUAAAUGUGGAAUCGGAGCUGCAGGUGCCAGCAUGUGCCACAGCCACAGCAACGCCAGAUCCAAUCCCCGCCUGCGACCUCCACCGCAGCUCACAGCCACACCAGAUCCUUAACCCACUGAGUGCAGUCAGGGAUCUAACUCGCAUCCUCAUGGCUACUAGUCAGGUUUGUUAUCACUGAGCCACCAUGGGAACUCCUGUCAUGGCCCAUCUUGAGUGUCUUUUUUCUUUUCCCUGACCAAAGGUACAGAGACUAUUAAAACUGACUCUGGGAGUUCCUGUCCUGGCUCAGUGGUUAACAAACCCAACUAGGAACCAUGACAUUGCAGGUUCGAUCCCUGGCCUUGCUCGGUGUGUUAAGGAUUCGGCAUUACUGUGAGUUGUGAAAGGUCACAGACUUGGCUCGGAUCCUGCAUUGCUAUGGCUGUGGCGUAGGCCGGCGGCUACAGUUCUGCUUAGACCCCUGGCCUGGGAACCUCCAUAUGCCACGGGUGUGGCCCUAGAAUAGACCAAAAAAAAAAAAAAAAAAAAAAAAAAGACCUUCAAAAAACUGACUCUAACACUUCAAAGUGUAUAGAUUUCAUUUGAAACAUGGAAAUGUUUAUUUUUAUUAUUUACUGAUUUUUAUUUCAGUAUGGUUGUUUUACAAUAUCACAUUAGUUUCACAUGUAGAACAGUGAUUCAAUACUUUUAUAGAGUAUACUGCAUUUACAGUUGUUAUAGAGGUUUCCUUGUGGCACAGUGAGUUAAGGCUCUGGCAUUACACACAAUGGCUAUAUUUCCCUGUGCUGUACGAUUUAUCCUAGUUGCUGAUCUAUUUUAUUUUUUUUCUUUUUGGCUACACCCGCAGGAUGGGGAAGUUCCUGGGCCAAUGAUCAAAUUCCAGCUACAGCAGUGACCCCAGCCUCUAGUGAUAACACCAAAUCCUUAACUCACUGCACCCCAAAGGAAUGUCACUAUUUUAUUAAUAGUGAAACAGAGCAAGACCCUGUGGGGCCUUCCCAAGGACGGACACCUCCAACUGCUUUGUCCCCUGACUUUUUAUAGAGAAGCAUUAGCCUCCUAGGUCUUCUCCCAGUUCCAAAGAGCAAAAAGGCACAAGUGAGAAAAUGCAGAAGCAAAAGAAAGCAGUAAGACAACUUAGUAAUAGUUUUGGCCAAAGACAAAGCUAAAGACAUUUCUUUUCAAAGCUAAAGACAUUUAGUUCUUCCUCAAAGCCUCAGCCAUAUCCUUUAAUUGUUGCAGAUGCUAAAGGUGCAUGCUGGGAGUUUCUGUUGCAGCUUAGCUGUAAUGAACCCAGCUAGUGUCCAUGAGAACUAGAGAGUUCAAUCCCUUGCCUCUCCUAGUGGGUUGAGGGUCUGGCAUUCCUGCAAGCUUUGGCACAGGUCAAACACACAGCUCAGAUCUCAGUUGCUGUGGCUGUGGCAUGGGCCAACAGCUGCCACUCCAAUUCGACCCCUGGCCUGGGAACUUCCAUAUGCCAUGGGUGUGCGGUAAGGGCCCUCCCAGAACAAAGGGAAGGAAAUGUGACAUAACCAGCGUCUGUGUCUGCAUGCGUAACUCUGCAGCAGCAAGACAUAAUCACUGUCCAUGUGCAACUCUGUAGCAUAGACCAUCCAACCAGAAUUUACAGAAUGCAUGUUACCUUAUAAGGGGGACAAAGGAACCAAAGUGUCAAAGAAAAAAUAACAGAGGGUAUAUCAGACAGAACCCCACUGUGUUCAGGACUCAGCCUUUGGAUGUGAAUCCAACUGAGCCAGUGUGGGCACAAAUAAACCCUGUUCCCUGGCAAAAA
rnacentral:lncRNA from 1 species